GUCCUUCGGGACCGAGCGGCGGACGGGUUAGUAACGCGUGGGAACAUACCCUUUUCUACGGAAUAGCCUCGGGAAACUGAGAGUAAUACCGUAUAAGCCCUUCGGGGGAAAGAUUUAUCGGGAAAGGAUUGGCCCGCGUUAGAUUAGAUAGUUGGUGGGGUAAUGGCCUACCAAGUCUACGAUCUAUAGCUGGUUUUAGAGGAUGAUCAGCAACACUGGGACUGAGACACGGCCCAGACUCCUACGGGAGGCAGCAGUGGGGAAUCUUAGACAAUGGGCGCAAGCCUGAUCUAGCCAUGCCGCGUGUGUGAUGAAGGUCUUAGGAUCGUAAAGCACUUUCGCCAGGGAUGAUAAUGACAGUACCUGGUAAAGAAACCCCGGCUAACUCCGUGCCAGCAGCCGCGGUAAUACGGAGGGGGUUAGCGUUGUUCGGAAUUACUGGGCGUAAAGCGUACGUAGGCGGAUCAGAAAGUAGGGGGUGAAAUCCCAGGGCUCAACCCUGGAACUGCCUCCUAAACUCCUGGUCUUGAGUUCGAGAGAGGUGAGUGGAAUUCCAAGUGUAGAGGUGAAAUUCGUAGAUAUUUGGAGGAACACCAGUGGCGAAGGCGGCUCACUGGCUCGAUACUGACGCUGAGGUACGAAAGUGUGGGGAGCAAACAGGAUUAGAUACCCUGGUAGUCCACACCGUAAACGAUGAAUGCCAGUCGUCGGGCAGUAUACUGUUCGGUGACACACCUAACGGAUUAAGCAUCC
rnacentral:rRNA from 1 species